rnacentral:rRNA from 1 species
ACGGAGGGUGCGAGCGUUAUUCGGAUUUAUUGGGCGUAAAGAGUGUGUAGGCGGUCGAUCAAGUCUGAUGUGAAAGCCCGGGGCUUAACCUCGGAAGGGCGUUGGAAACUGGUCGACUUGAGUUCGGGAGAGGAAAGCGGAAUUCCGGGUGUAGAGGUGAAAUUCGUAGAUAUCCGGAGGAACACCGGUGGCGAAGGCGGCUUUCUGGACCGAAACUGACGCUGAGACACGAAAGCGUGGGGAGCAAACAGGAUUAGAUACCCUGGUAGUCCACGCGGUAAACGAUGGGCGCUAGGUGUGGGGGGUUUUUAAUCCCUCCGUGCCGCAGCUAACGCAUUAAGCGCCCCGCCUGGGGAGUACGGCCGCAAGGUUA